AGAGCGAACGCUGGCGGCAGGCUUAACACAUGCAAGUCGAGCGGGCGUAGCAAUACGUCAGCGGCAGACGGGUGAGUAACGCGUGGGAACGUACCUUUUGGUUCGGAACAACCCAGGGAAACUUGGGCUAAUACCGGAUAAGCCCUUACGGGGAAAGAUUUAUCGCCGAAAGAUCGGCCCGCGUCUGAUUAGCUAGUUGGUGAGGUAAUGGCUCACCAAGGCGACGAUCAGUAGCUGGUCUGAGAGGAUGAUCAGCCACAUUGGGACUGAGACACGGCCCAAACUCCUACGGGAGGCAGCAGUGGGGAAUAUUGGACAAUGGGCGCAAGCCUGAUCCAGCCAUGCCGCGUGAGUGAUGAAGGCCCUAGGGUUGUAAAGCUUCUUUUGUGCGGGAAGAUAAUGACGGUACCGCAAGAAUAAGCCCGACUUAACUCGCGCCAGCAGCCGC
rnacentral:rRNA from 1 species